rnacentral:sRNA from 1 species
GCCAGGCGUGGUGGCACACGCCUGUUAUCCCAAGUAACUCAGGAGGCUGAAGCAGGAGGAUCACAAAUUCAAAGCCAGCCUCAGCAAUUAAACAACUCAGUGAGACCCUGUCUCUA